UACGUAGGGUGCAAGCGCUGUCCGGAAUUAUUGGGCGUAAAGAGCUCGUAGGCGGUCUGUCGCGUCGGCUGUGAAAACUCGGGGCUCAACUCCGAGCUUGCAGUCGAUACGGGCAGGCUAGAGUUCGGCAGGGGAGACUGGAAUUCCUGGUGUAGCGGUGAAAUGCGCAGAUAUCAGGAGGAACACCGGUGGCGAAGGCGGGUCUCUGGCCCGAUACUGACGCUGAGGCACGAAAGCGUGGGGAGCAAACAGG
rnacentral:rRNA from 1 species